UGUCUUACAGUUCAAAAUAACUGUCUGCCAGGAACCAACAAGAAAAGAUGGGUUUGCCCUGGUCAAAGAUUUAACAGUUUGUGUCUUUUCUCCUGAAGGUUUUCAGGAGAGAAUAAGUUACCCUCAGCUCAAUAAUUUAGAUGGUAAAGGACUUGAUCGAAUGUUUUUUAAGACCCCUUUCAUAUUAUUCUCUGCAGCUUAAUGAUUUUAAGGAUAAAAAUAUGGUAAUGGAAGUACUCUUACUAGAAUGAAGUGUUAUCUUAUUGGAACUUGCAUUUGGAAGAGUAACUGUUCCUGCUGCUAGGAACUGAGGCGCAUCAGAAAUUGUAACCUCAUCGUUGGUGUGCAGACCUUGGGAGAGCAGCAUCCAGCUCCCUUUUGUGGAUCUAGAUAGAAAAGAGUCCCAGUUUGUUUAAAGAUGAAUAAACUAAUUUAUUUAUUUUUUUAAAAUCCAGCCUUGGCAAAUGCAACAUUAUGUGUCCUUGAGCCUAUUAUGUCUGUGGAGGUUAUAGCCCCAAAUGAAUUUCAGGGAUCGGUGAUUGCAGGAAUUAACCGGCGCCAUGGGGUAAUCACCGGACAAGAUGGAAUUGAGGACUAUUUCACGUUAUAUGCAGACGUCCCUCUAAAUGAUAUGUUUGGUUAUUCCACUGAACUUAGGUCAUGCACAGAGGGAAAGGGAGAAUACACAAUGGAGUACUGCAGAUAUCAGCCGUGUUCACCGUCCACACAAGAAGGCCUCGUUAAUAAGUAUUUGGAAGCUACAGGUCAACUUCCUGUAAAAAAAGGAAAAGCCAAGAACUAACCUUUCUCACUUUAAGUUGACAAACUGAAUCUGCAAGGUUUAGAUACUUUAACGGAUUCCAGCGGAAUGGAUUCAAGCUGAAAUAAAUUUUAGAAGCCCUUCCUGUUUUGUUUAGGAGCUUCUAUUAUAUUCAAAGAUAAUUCUAUGUAUAUCUCAACUCGAUUGGUUUUAUGGUUCAUUGAAAAACCUCAUAAAAUAUGAUUAUUACUGAAAUAUAUUUAAUAUUUAUCUAAGGGGAGAAGAGACUAAUUUCAGUUAUACUUCUGAGCUUAGAAUAUAUGUAAACUUCCAUUCCAAAAUUUUUAUCAUAAGAAUUUUCAACAUAUAGAAAAGCUGAAACAAGCAGUAUAAAUAACAGCAUGUAUCUUCUAUCUAAACAACAAACAAUCUUGUUAACAGUUUAUCAGAUAGUAAUUUGUUUUGUCAUAUUUGCUUUAUCUGUUUGUCUAUCAUUUGCCUACCUAUCUCUUUAUUUAAAAAUUUUUUUUUAAUUAUUGUUUUGCUGAAUACUUGAAAGUGAAUUGCAUAAAUCAUGAUGCUUCUUGCAGUGUCCUUUUUUUUUUUUGUGCUGAGGAAGAUUUGCCCUGAGCUAGCAUCCAUGCCAGUCUUCCUCUAUUUUGUAUGUGGAUUGCCACCACAGCAUGGCUGCUGACAAGUGAUGUAGGUCUGCACCCGGGAACUGAACCCAGGCCACCAGAGUGGAGCCACCAGACUUAACCGCUAGGUCACCGGGCUGGCCCUGGAGUGUCAUCUUUUAAUGAGCAGCCUUUUUUGUUCGAGUGGAUUCCAUGUGUUCUUAAUGGAGGAUGUUUUUCAGAUUCUUCAUUGGGAUAGUAAAAUGCUAGCUAAAUUUCUAGCUGUUUUAUAUAUAACCAACUGCUUCAAUUUGUGACUUGUCCAAAUUUAUAACUGCCUUCCUUGCAGACCUGUGAAACGAAGAACAGCCCCUUGCGCAUGCUCUUCUUGUCUCUGUUCUUCUGAAUGUCUCUGCGGCUCUAAAAAGAAAAUAGAGUUUAAAGAGUUGCUGACCAGUCAGUUUCAUUCACGUAGUAAAUUCUAGUUGAAUUUGAGUCUGUUGGAAUUUAUCAUAUAUUGUAUUCAUGGAGAGUGUGAAAGAACAAAUGUUAAGCUUUUUUUCCUAGAAUGAGGUGGACUUUCCCAGGUACUUUUACCAUGCUGUUCCGAAUUGCUUCAUCCAAAAAAAUCAUCUGAUGUGAUAGAUAACAUCCUAGUCCUUUCUCUUGUGGACAGUAGAAAUAAAAUAACUUUUAAAUUCC